rnacentral:tRNA from 1 species
AUCUAUUUAGUAUAAAAGUAUAAUUGACUUCCAAUCAAUAGGUCUGAAUUAUCAGAAUGGAUA